ensembl:misc_RNA Rn7s2 7S RNA 2
GCCGGGCGCGGUGGCGCACGCCUGUAGUCCCAGCUACUCGGGAGGCUGAGACAGGAGGAUCGCUUGAGUCCAGGAGUUCUGGGCUGUAGUGCGCUAUGCCGAUCAGGUGUCCGCACUAAGUUCGGCAUCAAUAUGGUGACUUCUCAGGAGUGGGGAACCACCAGGUUGCCUAAGGAGGGGUGGACCGGCCCAGGUCGGAAAUGNNNNNNNNNNNAGGUCAAAACUCCCGUGCUGAUCAGUAGUGGGAUCGCGCCUGUGAAUAGCCACUGCACUCCAGCCUGGGCAACAUAGCGAGACCCCGUCUCUU